AGAAUCAACGCUGGCGGCGUGCCUCAGACAUGCAAGUCGAACGCGAAAGUUUCCUUCGGGAAAUAAGUAGAGUGGCGCACGGGUGAGUAACACGUAGGUAAUCUACCUUUGGAUGGGGAAUAACAACCGGAAACGGUUGCUAAUACCGCAUAAUGCAGCGGCACCUAAUGGUGACAGUUGUUAAAGCGGGGAUCGAAAGACCUCGCGUCUGAAGAGGAGCCUGCGGCGGAUUAGCUAGUUGGUAAGGUAAUGGCUUACCAAGGCUACGAUCC
rnacentral:rRNA from 1 species